CACGUAGGGGACGAGCGUUGUCCGGAUUCAUUGGGCGUAAAGCGCGCGUAGGCGGCUCGGAAAGUCGGUCGUGAAAUGCCGGGGCUCAACCCCGGGACUGCGUCCGAUACUUCCGGGCUGGAGGUAGGUAGGGGAGAUCGGAAUUCCUGGUGUAGCGGUGAAAUGCGCAGAUAUCAGGAGGAACACCGGUGGCGAAGGCGGGUCUCUGGGCCGAUACUGACGCUGAGGAGCGAAAGCGUGGGGAGCGAACAGG
rnacentral:rRNA from 1 species